GCCUAGCUGGCCCAGUCUGUAGAGCAUGUGACUGUUGAUCUUGGGCUUGUGAGUUCACACUCCAUGUUUGGC
rnacentral:tRNA from 1 species